rnacentral:rRNA from 1 species
GUCCUUUAGAUUAGUAUUUAAGGUCUAACCUGCCCAUUGAUUAAUUUAACGGCCGCAGUAAAUUGACUGUGCAAAGGUAGCAUAAUCAUUAGUUUUUUAAUUGAAAGCUUGUAUGAAUGGUUGGACGAGAUAUAUACUGUCUUUAAAUUAUAGAAAGAAUUUAAUUUUUAAGUUAAAAAGCUUAAAUUUUUUUAAAAGACGAGAAGACCCUAUAGAUCUUUAUAAAAAUAAUUAUUUAAUUUUUUAGGUUUAAAAGUUUUUAAAUAAUUAUUUUUAUUUUAUUGGGGUAAUAGAAAGAUUUAAUUAAUUCUUUUUUUGUUAUAACAAUAAUGAUUGAUUUUUUGAUCCAGUUUUAUUGAUUAUAAGAUUAAGUUACCUUAGGGAUAACAGCGUAAUUUUUUUGGAGAGUUCUUAUCGAUAAAAAAGUUUGCGACCUCGAUGUUGGAUUAAAAUUUAUUUUAGGUGUAGAAGUUUAAAGUUUUAGUCUGUUCGACUAUUAAAAUUUUACA